rnacentral:rRNA from 1 species
CAUCCAGCGAACUUGGCAGAGAUGCCUUGGUGCCUUCGGGAACGCUGAGACAGGUGCUGCAUGGCUGUCGUCAGCUCGUGUUGUGAAAUGUUGGGUUAAGUCCCGNAACGAGCGCAACCCUUAUCCUUUGUUGCCAGCGAUUCGGUCGGGAACUCAAAGGAGACUGCCGGUGAUAAACCGGAGGAAGGUGGGGAUGACGUCAAGUCAUCAUGGCCCUUACGAGUAGGGCUACACACGUGCUACAAUGGCGCAUACAAAGAGAAGCGACCUCGCGAGAGCAAGCGGACCUCAUAAAGUGCGUCGUAGUCCGGAUCGGAGUCUGCAACUCGACUCCGUGAAGUCGGAAUCGCUAGUAAUCGUGGAUCAGAAUGCCACGGUGAAUACGUUCCCGGGCCUUGUACACACCGCCCGUCACACCAUGGGAGUGGGUUGCAAAAGAAGUAGGUAGCUUAACCUCCGGGAGGGCGCUUACCACUUUGUGAUUCAUGACUGGGGUGAAGUCGUAACAAGGUAGGCGUAGCGAG